UAGGGAAUCUUCCACAAUGGGCGCAAGCCUGAUGGAGCAACACCGCGUGAGUGAAGAAGGGUUUCGGCUCGUAAAGCUCUGUUGUUAGAGAAGAACAUGCAGGAGAGUAACUGUUCUUGUAUUGACGGUAUCUAACCAGAAAGCCACGGCUAACUACGUGCCAG
rnacentral:rRNA from 1 species